GAUGAAGAACGCAGCGAAAUGCGAUAAGUAAUGUGAAUUGCAGAAUUCAGCGAAUCAUCGAAUCUUUGAACGCACAUUGCGCCCGCCAGUAUUCUGGCGGGCAUGCCUGUUCGAGCGUCAUUUCAACCAUCAAGCCCCAGGCUUGUGUUGGGGACCUGCGGCUGCCGCAGGCCCUGAAAACCAGUGGCGGGCUCGCUGUCACACCGGGCGUAGUAGAUUUUAUCUCGCUCUGGGCGUGCUGCGGGUUCCGGCCGUUAAAAAACCCUUUUAACCCAAGGUUGACCUCGGAUCAGGUAGGAAUACCCGCUGAACUUAAGCAUAUCAAUAAGCGGAGGA
rnacentral:misc_RNA from 1 species